UACCCGCAGCUCAAGUGGUGGUCAUUAUUAUUGGGCCUAAAGCGUCCGUAGCUGGCUUGUUAGAUGCCUGGGUAAAUCGAUGCGCUCAACGUAUCGAAUUCCGGGUAGACCGGCAAGCUCGAGACCGGGAGAGGCGUGAGCUACUCAAGGGGUAGGGGUAAAAUCCUGUAAUCCUUUGGGGAGGACCAGUGGCGAAGGCGUCACGCUAGAACGGCUCUGACAGUGAGGGACGAAGCCCUGGGGCGCAAACCGG
rnacentral:rRNA from 1 species